rnacentral:tRNA from 1 species
GCCCCCGUGGCGCAGUGGUUAAGCGCUCGGCUGCCAACCGAAAGGUUGGCGGUUGGAGCCCACCCAGCGGCU